AGUGUGGCUCAGUCGGUAGAGCAGCUGAUUCGUAAUCAGCAGGUCGCCGGUUCGAAUCCGGCCACU
rnacentral:tRNA from 1 species